rnacentral:rRNA from 1 species
UACGAAGGGGGCUAGCGUUUGCUCGGAAUGACUGGGCGUAAAGGGCGCGUAGGCGGCGCAGUUAGUCAGGCGUGAAAUUUCCUGGGCUCAACCCGGGGACUGCGCUUGAUACGGCUGUGCUUGAGGAUGGAAGAGGCUCGCGGAAUUUCCCAGUGUAGAGGUGAAAUUCGUAGAUAUUGGGAAGAACACCGGUGGCGAAGGCGGCGAGCUGGUCCAUUUACUGACGCUGAGGCGCGACAGCGUAGGGGAGCAAACAGG